rnacentral:misc_RNA from 1 species
GCAAACUUGGUCAUUUAGAGGAAGUAAAAGUCGUAACAAGGUUUCCGUAGGUGAACCUGCGGAAGGAUCAUUACUGAGUGAGGGCCCUCUGGGUCCAACCUCCCACCCGUGUUUUAUUGUACCUUGUUGCUUCGGCAGGCCCGCCUCACGGCCGCCGGGGGGCCUCUGCCCCCGGGCCCGCGCCUGCCGAAGACACCCUUGAACGCUGUCUGAAGUUUGCAGUCUGAGCGAAAAGCAAAAUUUAUUUAAAACUUUCAACAACGGAUCUCUUGGUUCCGGCAUCGAUGAAGAACGCAGC